GUUGCCUGCAGUUCUUCUUCCUGUUGAUAAAGCCGGUUACAAGAUGCAUCUGUAGGUCUCUGCUGCCCCCUACUGGUUUACCCGCAAAACACACGUUGUAAGGAUUAUGAAGCUACUGCAACUUCAUGUACACCCUCAGUGACUGCUGUGGAAGACUUUGAGAUGACGUUGAAAGCUCCAGAAAAAGCUAGUUUUUUCCGCUGUGGCCACUGUGAGAGGCAUAUUGGAUUCACUGUCACAGCCUGACCUGGUACUCCUGCUCUCUAGUGGUUUUGCUGUGUGUGGGUGUGUCUUUCAGGAGCUGCUCUCUGCCUGAGGAUUUUUGAUCUUGGCCUGCCCACUGUUUCUGCUACUGCCUUGUCCAUUGUUUGCUUGACUUUUUUGUCAUUAAAACUCUCUAAACAUCCGUGUUGUCUGCUUCUGAGUCGUCUCCAUGGUGUCUGACAUUCACACUCUUAACACAGUGGAGCCUUUUGGUCUAAAAUGAAGAACUGAAUUUGUCAUGUUCCCUCUAAUUGAUUACAUUUGAUGGAUGCAGUAUUUGUACUUUCUGUACUUGUAUCUUUGUAGCUUUAAGAUAUGGCUUAAUAUGGCUUUGUGAUGACGGUGCAUGGGGUGUGGCACUUGUGCGGACAUUGACAAUGGCAACUCCCACCCUUGGAUCCAUUAUACAAUAGAUUUGAAAUCCUGUUCAACCAA